CCCGCCAGCAGCUCCCAAAGAACUCGCCACCCAAUGUUGCUACAAUAUUUGGCAACACCUGAACGGCUCCUCACUGACAGCCGCCGCAGCCAAUCGCAGCUGGCUCCGGCUUCCCCGCGCGGAAACCCUCCGCCAAUCACGGACCCCGGCCACGCUGCCCCGCCCCGCCGGCCCCAGACUGACGGCGCCUGCGGCCCAUCGUUGAUGGUUCAUUGGCCUAACCGCGUCACCCCGCAACCAGUCCCGGCCUCGACUUCUGUUCUGUACCCGCCCCCUACAAAGACAGCGCGGACGCUUGGCGCCUCCAGCCAAUGAAAGGUGAACCGUUCGCCCCGUGCUCGUCACCCUGUCAGAGCACCUGACAGGUGGCCGGCGUCUGAUUGGCUAGCUCUGCCGUCAAUCAUUAGGUCAAAUCCGAUCCCCGCCCACCACGGCGCCCAACUACGAUCCAGAAAUCAGAACCGCCUCCCUGCCGCCUGACUGACAGAAAUUGGAGCCAUUUACAGGUGAACCCGGCUCCCGCCCUUUCCCGCCCCGGGCCGUGACUGACACCUCAUCUAGCCAAUUACAGGCGACCCGGAUGCCGCAGGCAGAGGGACGCGCGCCUCACGUCAAGCUGCCAUGGAGACGGUGCCGCCGUCCUUCUCCCGUCGGCACCAGGUGAAGAAUGUGAUUGGAAAUGUCCCACAGCGCCACCUCAGGCUGGCAUGACCUAUAGGAGGCAGGGAGCUGCCUGGGCCAUAGGCAAUGAGGCUGUUCAGAGAAAUAUCACGAAUAAAUAGUUUGGAGGAGCUUGUGUUGGACUGGCGUGCUCAGAGUCAGCAGUCACACAACACCAGGUUAUAGUCCAAGAUACCAAGGUGUAGAGCUGGAUGAACACAGCAGGUCAAGCAGCAUCAGAGGGGCAGGAAAGCUGACGUUUCAGGCCUGGACCCUUCUUCAGAAGGUAAGGAUGCGGCAAGGGAUGGUACAUUGGUGAGCCCAUGCAGACGCUACAACAAUGAAUGAAUGGACACUGUGCAACAAUCACCAGACAGGAAUAUUCUCUCCCAGUUGGGUAACACUUCAGCGGUAAAGGACAUUCAGCCUCUGAUCUUCUGGUAAGCAUCCUCCAAGACAAACAAGAUAUUCAACAAUGCACAAUCAGUGAGCAGAAACAGAUAACCAAGCUCCGUACCCAUGAAAACAGAUUCACCUGCGAUUUUGGGAUCGUGUUGUGCUACACAGCACCUCUGUAUUAUGUAAAACUUUACUUGCUGUUCUGUUUUGACACCAUCACCUUGUUAAAUUGUUAUGAUCUCUCUACCUUAAUUGGUUUGGGCAGCUUUGGACUACUUAUCACUUUGGUUAGACCGUCAGCAUGUUGUACUAGCUAUUUGGUUUGUCUCCAGCACCACGUUAUUAUUUUUUUUUAUAAUUAUCUUUCUGUCUCAUUUAAUCAGAUUAUUUGUCAUCCCUUCACUUGUUAUUCAGCUGUUGACACUUUACUUACUGUCUAACACUCUUGGUCAUCUGCAGCGACUUAUUAUUUGACACUCCACUCACACCAGUUGUACGAUCUCUUGAUCUGUCUGCCCUUGAUCUCUCUGCCUAUAAAUUCUGUGUCUGUGUUCGUCUCUGUCAUUUCACCGGAAGAAGGAGCUGUACUCAGAAAGCUUGUGAUUUCAAAUCAACCUGUUGGACUCUAACUUGGUGUCAUGUGGCAUUUGAUUUAAUGAAGAAAUAGGUCAGAAGUCACAUAACGCCAGGUGAGAAUCCAACAGGUUGAUUUGAAAUCACAAGCUUUAGGAGUGCAGCUCUCUGAUGAAGGGUCUAGGCCCGAAACGUCAGCUUUUGUGCUCCUGAGAUGCUGCUUGGCCUGCUGUGUUCAUCCAGCUUCACACUUUGUUAUUUUAAAUAAACCCGUUGCAUUAUAA